UACGAAGGGGGCUAGCGUUGCUCGGAAUGACUGGGCGUAAAGGGCGCGUAGGCGGCUGGCAGAGUCAGAUGUGAAAUUCCUGGGCUUAACCUGGGGGCUGCAUUUGAUACGUGUGAUCUAGAGUGAGGAAGAGGGUUGUGGAAUUCCCAGUGUAGAGGUGAAAUUCGUAGAUAUUGGGAAGAACACCGGUGGCGAAGGCGGCUCACUGGCUCGUAACUGACGCUCAUGCACGACAGCUUGGGGAGCAAACAGG
rnacentral:rRNA from 1 species